ensembl:lncRNA
CACAGUGAUGAUACAGCACUGGCAAACAGGCGCACAGGGGCCUCAGUGCAGCCCCACCCCUCCAAUCUAUGAAGGACUUGCCUGGUCACCGUGAGCUGCUGAGAACCUCUGUAUCAGAGAAGGCUUCUGGGUAGAGGGAUUAGCUGGGGUCAGACACCCACAAAGGCCUGGGCCCACAAUAGCCAGAGGGAGGCUGGAACAGGACGGGACAAAGGCACACUGAAGUGCUUGGUCAAAGCUGACAGGGCAGCUGAGUCAUCACUGAUGAUGCUCAAAUUGAUCAUUUGCAAAGAUUGUCACAUUGUUUUUUUGAGUUUUGAGUAAAUGUUAACAGGUUUUAUUAUUUUCUUCAUGACAGUUACUUCGGGACCAUGUGUAACAGAGGACAUUUAUAUAUGUUUUAAACAUGUCAGUUUUCCUGUUGCAAUGACAUUCAUUAUUUUUCUUUCAUGGAAUUUAGUUUAGUAACUUUUUCUGCGAGACAUCAGACUCAUUUAGAAUCAGAAUCAGAAGCCAUUCACCGCCACACCGUGAUGGAGACGGCUGAGCUCAUUUGUUCAGACAGGUCUCUUCCAACUAAAUGAAUUGAUUGUAAAUGGCGUAGACUUACUACAAAACUCAAUUCACUACAAGUAAAAUUGAUCACCUGCUAUGAAUAGCAUAUUUGUGAAGGCAAACUGGUCCCAGAAUGACAGUCGCUUAAAAAUAGACCAUGUUAAAAAUGUACUUGUAACAAAUCAAGCAACAACAAUUUCCAAUAGACUACGGGAUUGGCUAAAUGUUUCAAAAUUUGAAGUGCUACUUCUACAUGAAAGAAAAAAAAUAGCCAGCGCAAAACAAUACUUGUGCUUGAAGAUUGAGAUUAUGUUUGAAUGAUACAAUUUUAGAAAAAGGUCUGAUGACGAUACCUCCUCCAUCGCUCCAUCAUUACUCUGCAGCAGAGCGGCAUGCAUGUCUUGUGCGUGCAUCUUUCAGCAGUGAUCAACAAAUCAUGUGUUUCGCCGUCACCCUCUAUCAGGUUUCGUUGAGUUUCAUAGAGAGGCGUGCGGUGUGACUCAUCCAUAUUCAUUGUGCAACAGCAGAACUAUAAUUCAACAUUUCAUAAUAAGCAUCUGAUUUAUAGCAAUUUAUCUGAAACCGUCCUCACCCAGAUUAAAUAGAUUCCAAUCAUUUGUCAAUACAUUUAAGUGUGUCCUG